GCAUCUGUAGCUUAAUGGAUAGAGCAUUUGACUUCGGAUCAAACGGUUAGGGGUUCGAGUCCCUUCAGAUGCGCCA
rnacentral:tRNA from 1 species